rnacentral:rRNA from 1 species
AGUGAACGCUGGCGGUAGGCCUAACACAUGCAAGUCGAACGGCAGCACAGUAAGAGCUUGCUCUUACGGGUGGCGAGUGGCGGACGGGUGAGGAAUACAUCGGAAUCUACUUUUUCGUGGGGGAUAACGUAGGGAAACUUACGCUAAUACCGCAUACGACCUACGGGUGAAAGCAGGGGAUCUUCGGACCUUGCGCGAUUGAAUGAGCCGAUGUCGGAUUAGCUAGUUGGCGGGGUAAAGGCCCACCAAGGCGACGAUCCGUAGCUGGUCUGAGAGGAUGAUCAGCCAACCUGGAACUGAGGCACGGUCCAGACUCCUACGGGAGGCAGCAGUGGGGAAUAUUGGACAAUGGGGGCAAGCCUGAUCCAGCCAUACCGCGUGGGUGAAGAAGGCCUUCGGGUUGUAAAGCCCUUUUGUUGGGAAAGAAAAGCAGCAGGUUAAUACCCCGCUGUUCUGACGGUACCCAAAGAAUAAGCACCGGCUAACUUCGUG